rnacentral:lncRNA from 1 species
UGAAGUGAUUACACACACCAUAAGAACUUUACUAGCUAACCUGCCUACAUCAGAAUCGCUUACGCUGGCUCCGUUGUCUACACAGACCAACAUAGCGGAUAUGCGGGCUUCUGAAACCUCGAUAAUGACUUUGCUUUACCACCUCUCAGACCCCUCCAUCCACCAUGGCAACCAGUCUACAGUCACUAACAACCAAAGCCCAGACCACUGCAUGAUACACAAACCAUGCUGCGUGCACAGAACAAUAUUGUGGGUUGUGCACCGUCUGACAUCACAAUGCCAGGGCUUGUAAUGCCACGGAGCAAAAGGGGGAUAAGGCCAAUAUAUUUCCAUGACGCAGCAUGUGCUGCACCACGCAGCACCAGAGCCACUGACAAAACACUGAGUCAAGCGUCAUGCCAGCAGCAAGAUGUGGCAAAACAUGGGCGAGGGCAAGCUAAACCCAGUCGCCGCCCACUAAGCAAAGAGGCUGCCCUGUCCAACCAAAGACAGCCCUCGUUUGUUUCUUUCUCCCCUUUCUCUCUCUCUCUCCCUAUUAUCUGUACCAGGAUGUUGCUGUGGUUUGCAGUGCCGUGCUGUCAGCCAAAGAGAGGACAGCUGCCACCGAGAAAACCGCUGAGACUCCUGACUACCGAUGACAGGGCACACUACCCCAGCACUGUAACCGAAUACAGCUGUACAAGGUUCCGAUGGAGAGAGGACUCCCUCACUCACACUGAGGCCGAUGUCGAAUACAUGUUCAGCCAACAUGAGAAAGUGACUGUUACACAAAUGGAGUUAAGUGGACACCACCACCGCUCCAAACAGUUCCCGGGAGCUUUGCUUAGAGCCGCUGCUGCCACCAGAAUGUUUAACAUUGGUAUGUCCAGUGUCAAUGCAGCGAACCAGACUGUAAACUCCUUGAAACCACUGUUUACUGUCUUCCAGAAGAACUUUACCCAGACUCAGCUGUUUACAGCAUUAACAACAGACAUGCUGUGGGAGGUUAGCUCCUCCAAAGACAGCCUAACCAUGAGUAAAACCCCAC